rnacentral:tRNA from 1 species
AUUCUUUUAGUAUCAACUAGUACAAUUGACUUCCAACCAAUUAGUUCUGAUAACAAUUCAGAAAAGAAU